GUUUUGUGCCACACUUUCCUAUCUGGGGCUUUUUGCUUUUGUUGCAGGACAGAUGGGGUUGCUUUGCUGCACCUGAAGACAGAAAAAGCCACAGAGCCCUUGCCAGGGGAGCAAAAACUGGUUAUUUAUUACCAGAGCUUUAAAGCUUUCCAUAAGAAGAAUAUGUCUCUGCUUGAUGGUUCUGCACUAGAUUGGAUCAGCGUGGUGUGAGAGCAGCUGCCGACACAAGUCCUUCAGGUUCCAGUGGGAGUGUGCAAGGGAGGAGAGUACAUCCAAUGUAUUGUUUGAUCGACUGAAAAGCGCUAUGAAUUUGGUUGCAACAUGGAAUUACUCUGCUGGCAUUUCCCAAGGCCUGCAAAGACACCACAUCCAUGAGUACAGGAU